rnacentral:rRNA from 1 species
AACGAACGCUGGCGGCAUGCCUAACACAUGCAAGUCGAACGAGACCUUCGGGUCUAGUGGCGCACGGGUGCGUAACGCGUGGGAAUCUACCCUCAGGUUCGGAAUAACUCAGAGAAAUUUGAGCUAAUACCGGAUGAUGACGUAAGUCCAAAGAUUUAUCGCCUGAGGAUGAGCCCGCGUAGGAUUAGGUAGUUGGUGAGGUAAAGGCUCACCAAGCCGACGAUCCUUAGCUGGUCUGAGAGGAUGAUCAGCCACACUGGGACUGAGACACGGCCCAGACUCCUACGGGAGGCAGCAGUGGGGAAUAUUGGACAAUGGGCGAAAGCCUGAUCCAGCAAUGCCGCGUGAAUGAUGAAGGCCUUAGGGUUGUAAAGCUCUUUUACCCGGGAUGAUAAUGACAGUACCGGGAGAAUAAGCUCCGGCUAACUCCGUG